rnacentral:rRNA from 1 species
AGCAGCCGCGGUAAAUUCCAGCUCCAAAUAGCGUAUAUUAAAAGUCGUCGCAGUCCAAAAAGCUCGUAGUUGAAUUUUCGGGGUCAGUAGGUUGGUCGUGCCACUGGUAUGUACGGGCUUCACUGAUUCCUCCCUCUUGUAGAACCGUAAUGCCAUUAAGUUGGUGUUGUGGGGAAACAGGACUGUUACUUUGAAAAAUUUAGAGUGUUUAAAGCAGGCUAACGCUUGAAUACAUUAGCAUGGAAUAAUGAAAUAGGACGUUUGAUCCUAUUUUGUUGGUUUCUAGGAUUGACGUAAUGAUUAAUAGGGAUAGUUGGGGGCAUUAGUAUUCAAUUGUCAGAGGUGAAAUUCUUGGAUUUAUUGAAGACUAACUACUGCGAAAGCAUUUGCCAAGGAUGUUUUCAUUAAUCAAGAACGAAAGUUAGGGGAUCGAAGACGAUCAGAUACCGUCGUAGUCUUAACCAUAAACUAUGCCGACUA